rnacentral:lncRNA from 1 species
CAGUGAUUGAACUCAGGGGCCCUAAACCACUGAGCCACAUCCCCAGCCCUAUUUUGUAUUUUAUUUAGGGACAGGGUCUCACUGAAUUGCUUAGCACAUCACCAUUGUUGAGACUGGCUUUGAACUCAGGGUCCUCUUAUUUCAGUCUCCCUAGCAGCUGGAAAUACAGGCUUGCACCACCAUGCCUGACGUUUUUUUGUUUGUUUGGUCCUAGAGAUUGAAUCCAGUGAAACUGGAAUUUCUCUGCUUCUCCUGGCAGUUGGGGUCUGCACAAGCUGCUGGUUUUUUAAGCCAAGAAGUGUGCUUUAGUUCUUAACACUCAGGCCAUGCCCUCUAGUGUUGCAGCAAACCCUAGAAACUCACCAUCAAUUCCUCCUUUCUCUGUUCUUUAGUGAAUUCAAAAGAUGAAAUCCAAAGACCUGGAUGAGUGAGUAUAAGAGUAGGAUUUAUUAUACAUUCAAAGAGAACUCCCACAAGGUGAGAGAGGACCCAAGAGGGGUUUUAGCUGAGUAUGCUAGUCUAGGGGUUUAUAUACACAUGGGUCAAUGUUAUUGGUCCAAAUUUAUGCUAAUCAGGGUUUGAAAAAUGUAGCAAUGCUGUUGAUCCACAAAUUUGCUUACUUAGUGUUUGUAAACGUAUACACACUAUUAGCCCUAAAUCCCAUUCAAGUUUGCCUUCCAUUUUCUCCUAGCUUCUUGGGAAGUCGGUGAAUCCUGCAUGCUGAAUUGAAUGUCUGGAGCUACAGCAGUGUGGCUGGGCCAAACCAUGGCUGUAUAACAGGUUGGUGUGUCUUGGCUCAACUGCAGUACUGGUCCAACAUGCCUCAAGCCCACUGUGCCUCAGGCCUGCACUCCGGCUCGUACAGGUUUUGCUCUGCUGCUCCACUAAUUCACUCUGAUGCCACUUCUUCACAGGGUCCAUUGGACUGGUGGCAUAGGUUUGCGACCAGGGAGCCAUGUUACCAGGGGUGUUUUACCACUGAGCUACAUACAUUCCAGUCCUUUUAUUUAUUUAUUUAUUUAUUUAUUUAUUUAUUUAUUUAUUGAGAUAUAGUGUCACUAAGUUGAAGAGAAUGACUUCAAACUUGAGAUCCUCCUGCUUCGACUUCCCUAGUCACUGGGAUUAUAAGUAUGUGUUACCACAACUGGCUGGUCCUUUUCAAUUUUAUUAUCCAAAGAUAGUUUCAUUUUCAGAUCUUUGCUAAUGAAGACAUACCUUUAAAAGUUUAUUAGCCAAGCUUAGUGGUACUCACUGUAGUCACAGCUAUUCAAAAGGCUAUCAUGGGAAGAUUGCUUGAGCCCAGGAGUUUGAGGCCAACCUGGGAAACAGAACUUGUCUCAAAAAUUAAAAAGUUUAUUAUUCAUUUAUAUAUCUUUAUUUCUAAAUUGUCUGAUGAUGUUUAUAGUAGACCUUUGCUGUAUCAUGGAAAGCUCACUUGUAUCCUGUCUUGUUUUGGUAAGAAUGUGCAAUUUUCUUUUUUUAGUUAUUGUUUUUUCAAUAGGAUGAAGAAUUACUUCUCUGUAACUUGCCUGUUCCAGCCAAAUUGUGAGCAUGAAAAAAUGAACCAAUCUGGCUCUUUUAAACAUUUUGAAUUUCAGGUGUUAGAAGCAAAGUCAGAAAUCAAGUCUAUUUGUUGGGACUGUUAGCUCCUUUUAUCUUGCUUCUUAUAUCACAAAGGAACUGCCUGCCAGGUUGAUGGUAAAUACAAAGGGCCUCCACUCAAUUUGGGACAACUCUAAAGGGCCAUUCCAGCAUAAGCACCUUAUGAGAAUGGAUGAGGCUUUAUUUGUAUCCUGUGCGUCUGCUUCUCCCCCUACCCAGUCCUACUCUUCCUCCUUUCCUUAGAGAUAUAUCUCCUGGGAACACUUGCUAGCAAAGUUUCUGUUCAUCAUUGCCUUCCUCAGUCUAUUUCCAAGGUACUGUCUAUUUAUUUAUUUAUUUAUUUAUUUAUUUUGUUUUUUUUUUAUUAGAAGUUUAUUAAAGGACAGCAGAAAAGACUUCUCCCAGAGGAAGAAGGGGACCCAAGAGGUGGAAUCCUGUCUAUUUAUUUUUAGUAACAACAUUCAGGAAAGACUACACAGUUGUCUUGAUACAAGGACCCUCUGAAACUACUUCUCUUAUCCUUUCUGCAUAAGGUUCUUCUUCCUUUUAGCUUUUCCAUAUUCUCCUAGUAAUUCACUGUUUUACUUAAACAUUUGGGUUCUUUGGCUUGUAAUCAAAGAUCAGUGUUAACACAAAAUCCUUUACCAUUUUUCUGGUGUUUUCUUUUUAACCAUUUUUAAGAAUAUCUUAUGUAUUACAAACAUAAACCUUACACUGAAAUGGUUUUCUCCAGUUUGUUAGUUGCAUUGUAAGUUUGUUCAUCAU